CGAAUUGAUUCUGUCUUUUUUUUUUUAUAACGCGAUGGAAACAUAAAAAUCUUUCCUUUCAUUCAUCUCCGCAUAGCACUCGUUCUCCCUGUCAUUCUCGUACACACACACACACACACACACACACACACACACACACACACACACACACACACACACACACACACACACGAGAGACGGACCGAGAGCGACGAUACGGGGAACACAUGAAGCAACCGAUGUCACCCGUCGCUUAGAAAACGGACACACUGGGGUUGAUAAGUUACCGGACUACUGUAACUACUACGUAGUGAUAAUAACAAAGACGUGAAUCAGGCAAUAAAUCCACUUACCUUGACAGCGGUAAGUUCGGUGUGCAUUAAAGUACAGACGGGUGGACCAUUUGCGAACUACUGCAGCUGCUCUAAGUUAAACCCCAAACUAAUCGGAAUAAGUGUUUAUAGCGGACUAAACCACCUCUUCUAUUCCACAUAGAAUUCUAUUCCGAACAGAUAAUCGUAUUCCGAUUGAGGCAUAUAUAUAUGAUACUUUUCUAUUCCGAUUGAGCUGUUCUUCCACUUCUAUGCGGAUCAGAUGUGUCCGCAUGUAAACGCGGAGUUACAUGCAAACACACUGACGGCUGAUUCGCCCACUCCUCCUGUCCACGCGCAAUGCUUGAGGUCAAUGGAAAAAUAUAUUUGGCACAGAGAAGACGGUCGGCGACAUUUGCAGUUUACCAAAGGUUAGUAUGAUAUACUGUGGUCUAACACGCCUGCCCAAAUUUUUUGUUAACUCAGAAAAGGUAAUAUUAGCUUUAUGAUCUCACCGUUAUUGAUAUUGAACAUCCCGCACCCGUCAUCAUAGACAACGUCGUUGGUAACGCAGCAAACACUGCGAUUAAGAUGAAAUGCGGUUAUAGAUUAGAUAGGCCUAUACGUUGCCCAUAUCAAAAAGUUUAUUUUUAUUACAUUCUAUUCUUAAUAUUAUUUUAUUCUGACUCUGAAUGUUUGUUGCUUUAAUCCAAAUGAGUAUUGAAAAGUUUUUUCUGCGCCAAAAAAGGCCUCGUCCAGACGAGACGGAGCAGCUUGAGGAGGUAGUUAGCUUAGUCUGAAAUUAAGUUGAACAGUCAAAUGGCUGUGGCUAGUAAAUGUUUAUUAAAUAUAUGAUACAUUUAUUUCGAUGUUCCUAGGCUUCAAACAGUGCUGAACAACCCAGUGCUUCUCAGGGGCCGGGCUGUUCAGGAGAGAUACUGAUUAAUAUAGGCCAGGAGGACAGCAGACAAAAUGUUGCUGAAACAUCAGAGGUGGCAAGGAAGAAAACUGGAGGACACGGGGACAAUGGAUUCAAUCCAGAAUGGUUAACCAUGCCCCGGUUUAAACCAUGGCUAUACCAUAACCAGCAUGGGAUGUUCUGCAGACUUUGUAGGCAGCACAAGCCUGCACCCAAGAAAGGUGCAAAUAAGAGGGCAUUUGUGGAGGUUGCUGCGGUCACAUACCGCAAAGACUACAUAGAAAGGCAUCUCAAAACAGAGCACCACCAGGAGAGCAUCAGGUGUCAGGCAACGGUUUCUUCGGGUAAUUUCCAAAAGGGAAAAUGAAUAAUAUCCAAUUACAUGUAGUAGGCAUAUGUAUAAAACAUUUUUUUAAU